CGCUACCCUUAUCAACUUACAUGUGGGAAUGUGCUUCAAAAAUAGAUUUUAAAUGCCUUUAUCUUAAACGAGAAGUAUUCAGUCUUUUUUUGCUGAUCAAAGUCUUUAAAAAUUCUUGAUCUUAGUAUUGGAGGGCCAUGACAUUGUUAAGCAACUUCGAGAAAAAGUAGUACUGAUUUUGUCGCCGAAAGAUGUCGUGACCAUUCCAUUUGCGUACUUAAUGAAUUACUUGGGUUUGUCUCGUAGACCGAAUAUUUCACUAUACGGGAAAAGUAUCUGUAUUAUAAACCAGAUUUCACUGUCUACCUCAAAUCGGUUGCAUUGCUGAAGAGCUUGGCCAUGGUUUGGGAAUGUCAGAACAUCAUCCACGUUGCUUGGCGAUUAAAUAGUGCUUUUGGAUAAAGAACCUUCGAUUGACCACAAAGACACCCUUCGAACGGUUUCUAUCGACACCUUCGAUGCAAUUUCGAGACCGGAAAGGAUUCUGCUUGGGCGAUGCUUUGACGAAAUCAGGAAAUCUGUACUGCUACCACUCCUCAUUUCUUGUACAGAGAUGUAACUCGAGUAAACAGAACUGGCCUUACCUACCGAACUCCUAAAACUGCAUAGAUGGGUGUACGCACGUUUAGAAAUAUCUAGACGAACUAAAAGCACGGAAAUGGGUUUGAAAAGUCUCACCUAUUAUUGGAAUACCCCAAGGUCCCGGAGGCAAAUUUGAAGCAUUCUUUUGCCAUAUUGCUUUUCCAACAAGAAACGCACCAAACUGCAGAAGGCAGAGGAACACGACCUGACCAACUGAUAUCAGUUCUUCUAGCAUGAAGUUCAUGGUAACUGCUCUUGAUAUUCGUAGUGUAACUUGUCCUCUAUUUGUGGGGCUGCUUUCGUUGUUUACUAGUGCAAUCGAUAGCUCACGGACGAAUUGCCUCAAGGAAGAGGGACUUUGGUGUAAACAUGCAGAGAAAUUGUUUACACCUCAUUGAGUCUUUAUGAAUCUAUAUCGGCGAUCAUCACGCCAUCAAGUGCUAACCUUGUGAUCAAGAGUGUCUAAAGAUGUGGAUAAAUUGAGACAGCACGGCCCCCUUUCUGAGUUUUUGGGUACCUUUGCAAUCCUUCUGUUAAUCGGUACAAUUUUUUUUUAAAAAGCAAUACGCGUCCUAAGACCAUGAUGGCUUAAAGUUUGGUUUUAAUGAUGGGUUUUCCAAGGUCAGGUUUGCACGGAUCAUUUGAAGUUUACGAAGACACCUCGAACCUUCUUAAAAGAGAAGGCCUUGAUCAAAUUCAUACUUUUGUUACACAAUUUCAGUAAAAUGAAGACGAUGUAUAAGCAGAACUGACUUUCUAGUCCAGAAUUGCUGCGUCUAUUUGAUAUUUUUAUCAGAGCAAUAUAAAAAUCAAUUUACAUAGGCUAUAUUUAUCAGCAAUAAGAGUGGUUGAUAUUUUUGGAGUCUCAUGUAGAGAAAUUGACCUCUGCUCAGAAUAGCAUUGUUUGUGGUGAAUAAGGACAGAGUUUAUUCUCAAUCCUUCAUUCUUCAUUCUUGUGGUUAAAACAAAGAUAACGGCUGAAUGACGUUCAAAAUAAUAAUAAUCUGGAUUAUGUUAGAAUCGAUAUACCGUAAAGAGGAAAUAGUUUUCUGACAGCCCACAACCAAAAUCAGGAACCUCCUAUAUUCGAAUAAAACUAGCUAAAAUUUUCGAUGGCCAGGCCUGAUCGUUAGUUUUGUUUUAGCUGAUGCUCUCUAAGCUCUUUCUGUCGCUAAUAAGUGACAAUAAAACAAAGAAGUGGAUUAAUUCGUUGGGAAAUUUUCGAUGAGAGCAUUGCAUACAUAUACAAGAAUCAUUGGAAAUAUUGACUUUUUUAAAGAAAUGUUGUUAGUUCUACAUGUGACAAACUAACGUUUUCGACAACCGUUCGAGUCAGCUUAGAAUUAG